UACGGGGGGGGCAAGCGUUGUUCGGAAUUACUGGGCGUAAAGCGCACGCAGGUGGCUGAGUCAGUCGAUUGUGAAAGCCCUGGGCUUAACCUGGGAAUUGCAGUCGAUACUACUCAGCUAGAGUAUGGGAGAGGGUAGUGGAAUUCCCGGUGUAGCGGUGAAAUGCGUAGAGAUCGGGAGGAACACCCGUAGCGAAGGCGGCACUCUGGGCCGGUACUGACGCUGAGGAGCGAAAGCGUGGGGAGCAAACAGG
rnacentral:rRNA from 1 species